UGGAGAGAGAGAAACAGUGUUACUUUGAAAAAUUUUGAUUAUGAUUUUAGAGAUAAUUUUCUACAUACUGUAUUUUAACAAGCUGGCACAAUAAUAGCGUCUGAUCCUUUAGAACUGUGGUGUGUGUGUGUGUGUGUGUGUGUGUUCUCCAA
rnacentral:sRNA from 1 species